rnacentral:rRNA from 1 species
CAGUCGCCACGGGAAUACGUAGGUGGCAAGCGUUGUCCGGAAUUAUUGGGCGUAAAGGGCCCGCAGGCGGUUUCUUAAGUCUGAUGUGAAAGCCCCCGGCUCAACCGGGGAGGGUCAUUGGAAGCUGGGAAACUUGAGUGCAGAAGAGGAGAGUGGAAUUCCACGUGUAGCGGUGAAAUGCGUAGAGAUGUGGAGGAACACCAGUGGCGAAGGCGACUCUCUGGUCUGUGACUGACGCUGAGGAGCGAAAGCGUGGGGAGCGAACAGGAUUAGAUACCCCUGUAGUCCCUGUCUCUUAUAC